UUUUUUUUUAUGAAAAAAAUGUAAUUUUUAAUACAGGCCGGCCCGUUUAGCCCACGACUGGUAGCUCGGAUAGUAUAUUUCAAGCCCUUUUUUCAACCGGACAUUUUGGCCCGGUUCGAUAAAGCCUGAAGUCCGUUAAGACCACCGAACCACUCGUUUUGACAGAUCUAGCCUUAGUCUUUCAAGUGAAUGAAACUUUUCCCAUGCCGACUUCUUUUCUCAUCGGUUCCCAAGCUGAAAAAUCAAAGGUCCCAUUAGCUUUCUUAAUAUAUUAAAGGAAUAUAAUGUUUCAAUUUCUCUUAAUUCUCAAUUGAUUAAAAAUUUAUUGUAUUAUAAUAUCACCGUUUCAAAGGUCCCAGAAACAAAAAGAAUAAUAAACAACAUGAAGAAACCCCUUUUAAUGGGUAAAAGUGAAUGAAAACGGUGGUAUUAUAAUACAAUAAAUUUUUAAUCAAUUGAGAAUUAAGAGAAAUUAGAAUAUUAUAUUCCUUUAAUAUAUUAAGGAAAUUAAUGGGACCUUUGGUUUUUCAGCUUGGGAACCGAUGAGAAAAGAAGUCGGUAAGGGAAAAGUUUCAUUCACUGGAAAGACUAAGGCUAGAGCUGUCAAAACAAGCGGUUCGGCGGUCCUAACGGAAUUCAGGCUUUAUCGAACCGGGCCAAAAAGCCUGGUUGAAAAACGGGCUUGAAAUAUUCUCCAACUGAAAGAAAAACAAAGAUAAGCUUUGAAUAAUACUCGAGACAUGGGAAGUUAAAGUGAAAUGAGUUGGCAGUGUUGUUACCUUUUAUAAUCUCCUGGGACCUUUCAAUGACAUAAGAGCUCAUUUCUGUAUGAUGGUAUGAGUUGCAAGUAACGUCAAUUCAAUAUACAAAAUAACAAAUCUAGGAACAGCAAAUCAGAUAUUGAACAAUAUACUAAACCAUAUUUUUCACCUGAACCGGGUUUUUACCAACAGUGUAUGAGAAGAAAAGUUGAUGGUUGUUUAGUGUCUUUAAAUGUUGUAAUAACACAACCUUUAUCUGUAACGCCCUCUUUGAAUUAUUUGAUUGUUGUAAUAAGUUUAGGAUAUAUUUAUAUGAUUAUGUGAUUUAUUAAGUGGAUUAUUUUAUUAUUUAGUGGAAUAGGAUUUGAAAAUAAAAUAAGAUUAAGUUGUGGGGGCUGUUUUGGAAAUUAGAUGAGUGAUAUUUUGUUAAGUUAUAUGUUG
rnacentral:lncRNA from 1 species